GAACUAAUCAUUAACUGCAGAGGCAAAGCGAGGUCUGUUCCCUCCUCCUGAGAUCCCAGGCAGCAGCCAAGGGAGAGACUGACAUUAACCAUUGCACUACAGCAGAACACCCUUGCACAUAGCAGCCGCACCUGGGAACGUGGACAUAGUGAAAUUUCUCCUGCCUCAGAAUGCUGACAUGGAUAUCCAGGAUCACCUUCAAUACACCUCACUCCAGGAGGCUACUAAGUUCAAAUGCCUGAUAGCACAGCUGCAGCAUCAGCGGGGCUGCGCUAUUAUGUUGCUGGGAGGAUCAGAAGAAGUGGCCAAGUAUCUAGAACCAUCAGCUGAGACAGUCGAUGCAAGUCAGAGAAAAUGAGGUGCUCAUUUUUUCCAGCCUUAAUUCCACAAAAACACUUAAAAAUCAUUGCAUCCCUCUGGGUUUAUUGAUAUCUUAAACUAUCCUGAUCUUUUUCAGAGAAUGUUAGUUCUCCAAAUUUACAAGUUUUGCUUUCACUGUUUAGGCAUGUAUAUUGCUCACUGUAUGUAUAAUAAAUA